CUGCCCAGUGACUAGCGUUUAACGGCCGCGGUAUCCUGACCGUGCAAAGGUAGCAUAAUCACUUGUUCCUUAAUUGAGGACUUGAAUGAAUGGCCACACGAGGGUUUAACUGUCUCUUACUUACAAUCAGUGAAAUUGACCUCUUCGUGAAGAGGCGAAGAUAAACAAAUAAGACGAGAAGACCCUAUGGAGCUUAAAUUUAACACUCACAUUACAUACCAAAUCCCACAACAGGGCUACAACACACCUAAUUUAUGAGUGAACAAUUUUGGUUGGGGUGACCUCGGAGCAUAAAAAAACCUCCGAAUAUUUUAAACAUAGACACAACCAGUCAAAGCAAGAUACAUAACACGUAUCAUAUAAUCAUUGACCCAAAAACUUGAUCAACGGAACAAGUUACCCUAGGGAUAACAGCGCAAUCCUGUUCAAGAGUCCAUAUCGACAACAGGGUUUACGACCUCGAUGUUGGAUCAGGACAUCCCAAUGGUGUAACCGCUAUUAAUGGUUCGUUUGUUCAACGAUUA
rnacentral:rRNA from 1 species